rnacentral:rRNA from 1 species
GACGAACGCUGGCGGCGUGCCUAAUACAUGCAAGUUGAGCGAUGAAGCUUGGUGCUUGCACCAAUUUGAAGAGCAGCGAACGGGUGAGUAACGCGUGGGGAAUCUGCCUUUGAGCGGGGGACAACAUUUGGAAACGAAUGCUAAUACCGCAUAACAACUUUAAACAUAAGUUUUAAGUUUGAAAGAUGCAAUUGCAUCACUCAAAGAUGAUCCCGCGUUGUAUUGGCUAGUUGGUGAGGUAAAGGCUCACCAAGGCGAUGAUACAUAGCCGACCUGAGAGGGUGAUCGGCCACAUUGGGACUGAGACACGGCCCAAACUCCUACGGGAGGCAGCAGUAGGGAAUCUUCGGCAAUGGACGAAAGUCUGACCGAGCAACGCCGCGUGAGUGAAGAAGGUUUUCGGAUCGUAAAACUCUGUUGGUAGAGAAGAACGUUGGUGAGAGUGGAAAGCUCAUCAAGUGACGGUAACUACCCAGAAAGGGACGGCUAACUACGUG